AACGAACGAUGGCGGCAUGCCUAACACAUGCAAGUCGAACGAAGUCUUCGGACUUAGUGGCGCACGGGUGCGUAACGCGUGGGAAUCUGCCCUUGGGUACGGAAUAACUCAGAGAAAUUCGUGCUAAUACCGUAUAAUGUCUUCGGACCAAAGAUUUAUCGCCCAAGGAUGAGCCCGCGUAAGAUUAGCUAGUUGGUGGGGUAAAAGCCUACCAAGGCGACGAUCUUUAGCUGGUCUGAGAGGAUGAUCAGCCACACUGGGACUGAGACACGGCCCAGACUCCUACGGGAGGCAGCAGUGGGGAAUAUUGGACAAUGGGCGAAAGCCUGAUCCAGCAAUGCCGCGUGAGUGAUGAAGGCCCUAGGGUUGUAAAGCUCUUUUACCCGGGAUGAUAAUGACAGUACCGGGAGAAUAAGCUCCGGCUAACUCCGUGCCAGCAGCCGCAGUAACAC
rnacentral:rRNA from 1 species